GAUGAACGCUGGCAGCGUGCCUAAUACAUGCAAGUCGAGCGAACGGACGAGAAGCUUGCUUCUCUGAUGUUAGCGGCGGACGGGUGAGUAACACGUGGAUAACCUACCUAUAAGACUGGGAUAACUUCGGGAAACCGGAGCUAAUACCGGAUAAUAUUUUGAACCGCAUGGUUCAAAAGUGAAAGACGGUCUUGCUGUCACUUAUAGAUGGAUCCGCGCUGCAUUAGCUAGUUGGUAAGGUAACGGCUACCAAGGCAACGAUGCAUAGCCGACCUGAGAGGGUGAUCGGCCACACUGGAACUGAGACACGGUCCAGACUCCUACGGGAGGCAGCAGUAGGGAAUCUUCCGCAAUGGGCGAAAGCCUGACGGAGCAACGCCGCGUGAGUGAUGAAGGUCUUCGGAUCGUAAAACUCUGUUAUUAGGGAAGAACAUAUGUGUAAGUAACUGUGCACAUCUUGACGGUACCUAAUCAGAAAGCCACGGCUAACUACGUG
rnacentral:rRNA from 1 species